UAAUAUGCAAGAUCUUGUUAUUAUCUAAAAGAAUCACUUAGGAAGUUCUACCUACAUACACAUUAGGGCCACAUAUAUAGAAGACCAUAUUAGCCUUUUUUAUUUUUCGUACAACCAUAUUAGCCAUUUUAAUCACAUUACAAUUGGCUUUAUGAAAUCAACAGGUAUUUUACAGAAACUUUAUGUAAGGUAUGUAUAUAUCAUGUUACAUUGGUAGAUAAAAAUUAUUAUGCUUAUAACAACUAAGAAACAUCUAUCUGUUGUAGCUAUUACUAUCUAAUACUCAUAUUGAAUGCUUGAUGGUAAGUAGAUGCUUUGUGAGCUGAUAUCUAAAUUCAUAUGCAAUUUAGUCACUUGUUGGAAUAAGGCAUGAUGAUAGAGGUUGUGUAAUUUAGUUUUUAACCAAUGAUUACUCAGUUUUAUAUUACCACUCUU
rnacentral:lncRNA from 1 species